ACGCCGAUGGUGAAGCGGUUAUCAUGUCUGCCUUCCAAGCAGACGGCAGGGGUUCGACUCCCCUUCGGCGUA
rnacentral:tRNA from 1 species